AGGAAGGCAGGCAAGCAAAGUCUUUGAUAUCCAACUUCCUACCAUCUGUGGGAGAGAGAAGAUGAAAGGUGUGGUGGACAGGGGAGGAUCAUUGUGCUGGCUGACAGAACAUCUACCAUGAUUCACACCCAUCAACAAGAAUGCUGUAGUCAGAAUAGUGUGUGGCCCAGAGUCUUGGAGCCCGGUAAUGUACAGGAUUAAGUCUUUCUGGAUUAUCUAGACUCUUCUACCUGAGAUAGUCUGCCCCUGAGCCUAGCAUCCCUCAAGCUCUGCUGGCCUUUCAGUGAUGAUGCCAGAUGGUGGUGUGUUGCUGAAAUCCCAGCAUCAGGGUGGCUAAGAGUGGAAGUCUGCUACCACUUCAGAGCCAGCCUGAGCUACAAAGUAAGAUGUCCCUAAAAAAUAGACGGUAGUCAUAAAGCCCCCCCACUCGGUGCAAUCUUCACAGGGGUGGGAGGAGGACUGUCACAGGCAGUGGUGGAGGACUGUCACAGGCAGUGGGGAACUUCACAGUCACUGGUUCAAAGAGACAAGGAUCCCUGCCAGGGCUCUGAGUGGAGGAGGAGGCAGAGUGGUCUCAGGGACCAGCAGGGACCAGUGCACAAAUGAGACUCUCAGCUCUAUGAGUCUGCCUCUCCAACCCCCUAGAACAUUCCUUUUCAGAAUUUUCCAUUUCCUAAGACAUGAGGCUGCAUUGCCCAACAGUUGUGCUGUUUCUCACGGCUGCUCCGGGCCCAUUCCCAGAGAUGAUAUCAGACUAGGGCCAUGGAUUACCACAUGAAUUCAGUCAGCAAUGGUUGGCUGGGCACCCUCCCUCUGGCUUCCUCUCCCACUCUGCCCAUCUUCCCCCACCCCCUUGGCAUCUCCUCUCUCAAAGCAAUGAGCACCCAAACGAUUGUCCACCUGUGGAUAUUCCAUCCCACCACACAGCAAGAGAAUGUUUCUGGGUUCAAAUCUAGACUCAACCAUGUAAGAGUGCUCUGUAUGUUGUGAAGCCUAAAUUUUCUGAUCUAUAAAAUGGGAAGAAAACCAGAGGCAAAGGUUCACCAGGAAAAUCAAAUACAUGGAAUAAAUACAGAGUUACUAAGAAAACUGGCACCUAGUCAACACACCACAAAUAAGUGACAAAUCACAGCAAAUUCUUAAUCCCUCCUCUGAUCGUCUCCCUUAGCGUUAACACCUGCUCCAUGAGCUGCCCAGGAAAGAUGUACUAAGAGAUUGCUAUCUCUUAGACUGAAGGUCUGAUCCAGCAUAGCCCAAGGGUGACACGCUGGCUUCUAAGACCUACUUCCUGGGUGGUUGGCUCCAGAGAAUCACUUGACCUCAGUUUCAGCAUCUAUAAAAUACAGAUUAAAAUCAUUCCCACCUGGAAGAAUCACCGUGCAGAUAAACUGGCGCCAUGCGAAGGCUCAGGCGAGCCCAGGAGCUGAGCAAGGUCAAGGCUGCUGCCACCAUCUGUACGGGACCUUGUUCUAUGAGGACUCGGUAUGCGGACCAGGAACUACAGAGAGCAGAGCGAAGGGUCCAAACAAGUGCCUUUCUUUCCUCCUUUCACCCC
rnacentral:lncRNA from 1 species